rnacentral:lncRNA from 1 species
ACAAUACCGAGGCUCCCCAGGGCGACACGCUCGGCCUAAUGAACUCCUUGUCGAGAAGAUCCUGCAACUGAUCCCUCAAUUCUCUUAACUCAGCCGGCGCCAUGCGAUACGGGGCCUUUGAUAUCGGCGCGGUCCCGGGAAGCAAGUCUAUCAUGAACUCAAUUUUUCGAUCUGGCGGCAUCCCCGGUAACUCCGCCGGAAACACGUCCGGAAACUCCCGCACAACUUCCAACUCCUCCAGAGCCGGCACCACUCGGUCGACUUCCAUAACGAUUGCCAAAUAAACUGUACAACUGCUAUUAACUAGCUUCCUCGCUCUCGUCGCCGACACCGUUGCGGCGAAACACGAACUCUUGCAAGCUCGAUACGUGAACUCC